rnacentral:rRNA from 1 species
UACAGAGGUGGCAAGCGUUGUUCGGAAUUACUGGGCGUAAAGGGCGCGUAGGUGGCCUUCUUAGUCAGACGUGAAAUCCCUCGGCUUAACCGGGGAACUGCGUCUGAUACUGGAUGGCUUGAGAUUGGGAGAGGGAUGCGGAAUUCCAGGUGUAGCGGUGAAAUGCGUAGAUAUCUGGAGGAACACCGGUGGCGAAGGCGGCAUCCUGGACCAACACUGACACUGAGGAGCGAAAGCCAGGGGAGCAAACGGG